rnacentral:rRNA from 1 species
GACGAACGCUGGCGGCGUGCUUAACACAUGCAAGUCUAACGGUGAAGCCCAGCUUGCUGGGUGGAUCAGUGGCGAACGGGUGAGUAACACGUGAGUAACCUGCCUCUGACUCUGGGACAAGCCUUGGAAACGGGGUCUAAUACUGGAUACGAGACGCUCGGGCAUCCAAAGUGUCUGGACAGAUUUAUCGGUCAGAGAUGGACUCGCGGCCUAUCAGCUUGUUGGUGGGGUAAUGGCCUACCAAGGCGACGACGGGUAGCCGGCCUGAGAGGGCGACCGGCCACACUGGGACUGAGACACGGCCCAGACUCCUACGGGAGGCAGCAGUGGGGAAUAUCGCACAAUGGGCGCAAGCCUGAUGCAGCGACGCCGCGUGAGGGAUGACGGCCUUCGGGUUGUAAACCUCUUUCAGCAGGGAAGAAGCGAAAGUGACGGUACCUGCAGAAGAAGCGCCGGCUAACUACGUGCCAGCAGCCGCCGUAA